GGGAAACUGGGUAUAAUACCCGAUAGGUCUCGAUUGCUGGAAUGCAUCGAGAUUUAAAGCUCCGGCGCCUAAGGAUGGGUCUGCGGCCUAUCAGGUAGUAGUGGGUGUAGCGUACCUACUAGCUACGACGGGUACGGGUUGUGAGAGCAAGAGCCCGGAGAUGGAUUCUGAGACACGAAUCCAGGCCCUACGGGGUGCAGCAGGCGCGAAAACUUUACAAUGCUGGCAACAGCGAUAAGGGAACCUCGAGUGCCAGGUUACAAAUCUGGCUGUCGAGAUGCCUAAAAAGCAUUUCAUAGCAAGGGCCGGGCAAGACCGGUGCCAGCCGCCGCGGUAACACCGGCGGCUCGAGUGGUAACCGUUAUUAUUGGGUCUAAAGGGUCUGUAGCCGGCCGGAUAAGUCUCUUGAGAAAUCUGGCAGCUUAACUGUCAGGCUUUCAGGAGAUACUGUCUGGCUCGAGGCCGGGAGAGGUGAGAGGUACUUCAGGGGUAGGGGUGAAAUCUUGUAAUCCUUGAAGGACCACCAGUGGCGAAGGCGUCUCACCAGAACGGACCUGACGGCAAGGGACGAAAGCUAGGGGCACGAACCGGAUUAGAUACCCGGGUAGUCCUAGCCGUAAACGAUACUCGCUAGGUGUCGGCCACGGUGCGACCGUUGUCGGUGCCGUAGGGAAGCCGUGAAGCGAGCCACCUGGGAAGUACGGCCGCAAGGCUGAAACUUAAAGGAAUUGGCGGGGGAGCACCACAACGGGUGGAGCUUGCGGUUUAAUUGGAUUCAACGCCGGAAAUCUUACCGGGACCGACAGCAAUAUGAAGGCCAGGCUGAAGACUUUGCCGGAUUAGCUGAGAGGUGGUGCAUGGCCGUCGUCAGUUCGUACUGUGAAGCAUCCUGUUAAGUCAGGCAACGAGCGAGACCCA
rnacentral:rRNA from 1 species